rnacentral:rRNA from 1 species
ACGCUGGCGGCGUGCCUAACACAUGCAAGUCGAACGAGGUCCAUCCUUCGGGAGAAGACCUAGUGGCGAACGGGUGAGUAACACGUGAAGAACCUGCCCCGAAGACCGGGAUAACCCUCCGAAAGGAGAGCUAAUACCGGAUACCCCCACCGAACCGCAUGGUUUGGUGAGGAAAUGGAUUCCGCUUCGGGAGGGCUUCGCGGCCUAUCAGCUAGUUGGUGGGGUAACGGCCCACCAAGGCAUCGACGGGUAGCUGGUCUGAGAGGACGAUCAGCCACACUGGGACUGAGACACGGCCCAGACUCCUACGGGAGGCAGCAGUGGGGAAUCUUGCGCAAUGGGCGAAAGCCCUGACGCAGCAACGCCGCGUGGGGAUGAAGGCUCUCGGGUUGUAAACCCCUUUCAGCAGGGACGAAUCAAGACGGUACCUGCAGAAGAAGCCCCGGCUAACUACGUG